rnacentral:rRNA from 1 species
GCCCAGCCGUAAACUUUUACUUACAUUAAAUCGCCAGGGAACUACGAGCUAAGCUUAAAACCCAAAGGACUUGACGGUACCCCAUAUCCCCCUAGAGGAGCCUGUCCUAUAAUCGAUAAUCCACGUUUAACCUCACCAUUUUUAGUUAAUCAGCCUGUAUACCUCCGUCGUCAGCUUACCACGUGAGCGCCAAUUAGUGAGCCCAAUGUUAAUUCACCAGUACGUCAGGUCAAGGUGCAGCCAAUGAAAUGGAAAGAGAUGGGCUACACUUUCUAAGUUAGAAGAAACGAAAAACUAUCUAUGAAACCUAGUUAGAAGGCGGAUUUAGCAGUAAAAAGGAAUCAGCACAUCCAUUUUAACCCGGCACUGGGGUGUGU